rnacentral:rRNA from 1 species
GAGAGAGACAUGCGCGCAUAUCAAUAAGCGGAGGAAAAGAAACUAACAAGGAUUCCCUUAGUAACGGCGAGUGAAGCGGGAAGAGCUCAAAUUUGAAAUCUUCAAGGAUUUACCUUGACGAAUUGUAGUUUAAAGAAGUGUUUUCUGCUGAAGUUUUGGUAAAAGUUCUUUGGAAUAGGACAUCAUAGAGGGUGAGAAUCCCGUAUUUGACCAUUAUUUUCAGCUUUGUGAUACACUUCCAAAGAGUCGGAUUGUUUGGGAAUGCAGUCCAAAAUGGGUGGUAAAUUUCAUCUAAAGCUAAAUAUUGACGAGAGACCGAUAGCGAACAAGUACCGUGAGGGAAAGAUGAAAAGAACUUUGAAAAGAGAGUUAAACAGUACGUGAAAUUGUCAAAAGGGAAGCGUUUGACACCAGUGUUGUUUUCUCGAAAAUCAAUUAAAAAUGGCUCGAUUUUGUAUUGCUUGAGACCUUAAAAGCUCACUGUACAUUUUUCGUGUCUUUUUUAAUGCACUUUUCGUUUAACAAGUCAACAUCAGUUUCUUUUGUUGUAAAAGGGUCAUUGGAAGGUGGCUUUCUUUUCGGAGAAAGUGUUUAUAGCCUUUGGCCUCUGCAAUCGGAGAGACUGAGGUCUGCAGCGUAGACUCUUCGGGGUUAGAUACAUUUGUGCUAAGUUAUAGCUUUUUAUAGACAACUUGUUGACUAUAAUUAGUCUUGUAGCUUACUCGCUUAUGCUAUUUUACCUACGCUUAGGAUGUUGAAGUCAUCGUAUCGCGC